GGAUUGCACAAUUCCCAACCUUACUGCAAAGCACCAGCGAACUGCUCCCCUACGUGCACCACACAACACCUGCAAGCUCUGAAGGACCUGAAGCGAUGGCACGCACCUGCGCUGAGGGCCGGGCAGCAGGCCCGGUCACCAGUGAUAAUUUUAAUUGCGGGGGUGGAGGCAAGAUGAAUAAUGGAAACAACAACUGCAGGUUACCUUGAAAUGAAGGAGCAUGCAAGGCAAGAACUGGAAGCGCACUCAGCUCCCAGAGACUUGAAAACUG